UUGAUUCUGGCUCAGGAUGAACGCUAGCUACAGGCUUAACACAUGCAAGUCGAGGGGAAACGACAUCGAAAGCUUGCUUUUGAUGGGCGUCGACCGGCGCACGGGUGAGUAACGCGUAUCCAACCUGCCCACCACUUGGGGAUAACCUUGCGAAAGUAAGACUAAUACCCAAUGACGUCUCUAGAAGACAUCUGAAAGAGAUUAAAGAUUUAUCGGUGAUGGAUGGGGAUGCGUCUGAUUAGCUUGUUGGCGGGGUAACGGCCCACCAAGGCAACGAUCAGUAGGGGUUCUGAGAGGAAGGUCCCCCACAUUGGAACUGAGACACGGUCCAAACUCCUACGGGAGGCAGCAGUGAGGAAUAUUGGUCAAUGGACGAGAGUCUGAACCAGCCAAGUAGCGUGCAGGAUGACGGCCCUAUGGGUUGUAAACUGCUUUUAUAAGGGAAUAAAGUGAGUCUCGUGAGACUUUUUGCAUGUACCUUAUGAAUAAGGACCGGCUAAUUCCGUGCCAGCAGCCGCGGUAAUACGGAAGGUCCGGGCGUUAUCCGGAUUUAUUGGGUUUAAAGGGAGCGUAGGCCGGAGAUUAAGCGUGUUGUGAAAUGUAGACGCUCAACGUCUGCACUGCAGCGCGAACUGGUUUCCUUGAGUACGCACAAAGUGGGCGGAAUUCGUGGUGUAGCGGUGAAAUGCUUAGAUAUCACGAAGAACUCCGAUUGCGAAGGCAGCUCACUGGAGCGCAACUGACGCUGAAGCUCGAAAGUGCGGGUAUCGAGCAGGAUUAGAUACCCUGGUAGUCCGCACGGUAAACGAUGGAUGCCCGCUGUUGGUCUGAAUAGGUCAGCGG
rnacentral:rRNA from 1 species